rnacentral:misc_RNA from 1 species
GUGAAUCAUCAAAUCUUUGAACGCAAAUUGCACUCUCUUCGGAGAGUAUGCCUGUUUGAGGGUCAGCAUUAAUAAAAAUCGGUGUGUUGCUUCUUUGUGAUGGUCCGGGGUUUGGGUCAUCUUAAUAUCAUUUAGGUUUUAAGAGGCUUAAAAUUGACUUUUUUGCGCAUCUUAGAUGUACAUAAAUUCUUAUUUUAUUCGUCUGUCUUAAUGCCCAAUAUCCUAUUAGAUGAGCCUAUAACGUGUGCUCUCGUGUCUAUA